rnacentral:rRNA from 1 species
CAAUUUAAACAACGAAGAGUUUGAUCCUGGCUCAGGAUGAACGCUAGCGACAGGCUUAACACAUGCAAGUCGAGGGGCAGCACGGUGUAGCAAUACAUUGGUGGCGACCGGCGCACGGGUGAGUAACGCGUAUGCAACCUACCUAUCAGAGGGGAAUAACCCGGCGAAAGUCGGACUAAUACCGCAUAAAACAGGGGUUCCACAUGGAAAUAUUUGUUAAAGAAUUAUCGCUGAUAGAUGGGCAUGCGUUCCAUUAGAUAGUUGGUGAGGUAACGGCUCACCAAGUCCACGAUGGAUAGGGGUUCUGAGAGGAAGGUCCCCCACACUGGUACUGAGACACGGACCAGACUCCUACGGGAGGCAGCAGUGAGGAAUAUUG